CACGUAAGUUGCGAGCGUUGUUCGGAAUUAUUGGGCGUAAAGGGCAUGUAGGCGGAAUUGCAAGCUUGGUGUGAAAUACCAGGGCUCAACCCUGGAACUGCAUUGAGAACUGCAAUGCUUGAAUUACUGAGGGGGAAACUAGAAUUCCAAGUGUAGGGGUGAAAUCUGUAGAUAUUUGGAAGAAUACCAAUGGCGAAGGCAAGUUUCUAGCAGAUAAUUGACGCUGAGGUGCGAAAGUGCGGGGAGCAAACAGG
rnacentral:rRNA from 1 species